rnacentral:rRNA from 1 species
GACGAACGCUGGCGGCGUGCUUAACACAUGCAAGUCGCACGAAGUGGCGAACGGGUGAGUAACGCGUAAUAAACCUGCCCUUCAGAGGGGGACAACAGUUGGAAACGACUGCUAAUACCGCAUACUGAUGGAAGGGAUUGCGUCUGAUUCGCUAGUUGGGGGGGUACCGGCCCACCAAGGCGAUGAUCAGUAGCCGGUCUGAGAGGAUGAACGGCCACAUGGGGACUGGGACACUGCCCAUACUCCUACGGGAGGCAGCAGUGGGGAAUCUUCCGCAAUGGACGAAAGUCUGACGGAGCAACGCCGCGGGAGUGAUGACGGCCUUCGGGUUGUAAAGCGCUGUUAAUCGGGACGCGGUACCGGAAUAGAAAGCCACGGCUAACUACGUGCCAGCAGCCGCGGUAAUUC